rnacentral:tRNA from 1 species
GAUUAUAUAGUUUAAUUUAAAACUUUAUAGUUUCAUUAUAAAAAUAAUUUAUAAUAUUUAUAAUUU